UCUAUGGGUCCUGUGAAUUUUCAAUGUUUCAGACAGACAUCUGAAACUUACAGGACCCAAUGUCCUGUUACUUUUAAACACCAUUCGUGAAGACUUGAUACGUAUUUCUUAAGUUUGGAGUUU